rnacentral:tRNA from 1 species
UCCUUGAUGGUCCAGAGUGGUUACAACUUCACACUUUCAGUGUGAAAGGUACAGGCUCAAUCCCUGGUCAGAGAA